ACGCUAGCGGCAGGCUUAACACAUGCAAGUCGAGGGGUAACAGGAAGUGCUUGCACUUCGCUGACGACCGGCGAACGGGUGCGUAACGCGUAUGCAACCUACCUUCUACAGGGGGAUAGCCCAGAGAAAUUUGGAAUAAUACCCCAUACGGUCAUUUAAUGGCAUCGUUAAAUGAAGAAAACUCCGGUGGUAGAAGAUGGGCAUGCGUCCUAUUAGUUAGUUGGUAAGGUAAUGGCUUACCAAGACACCGAUAGGUAGGGGUCCUGAGAGGGAGAUCCCCCACACUGGUACUGAGACACGGACCAGACUCCUACGGGAGGCAGCAGUGAGGAAUAUUGGACAAUGGAGGCAACUCUGAUCCAGCCAUGCCGCGUGCAGGAAGACGGCCCUACGGGUUGUAAACUGCUUUUAUACAGGAAGAAUUAUACCUACGUGUAGGUAUUUGACGGUACUGUAAGAAUAAGGAUCGGC
rnacentral:rRNA from 1 species